UAGAGUCAGGCAGAUCUCUGUGAGUUCGAGGCCAGCCUGGUCUACAGAGUGAGUUCCAGGACAGCCAGGGCUACACAGAGAAACCCUGUCUCGAA
ensembl:miRNA Gm23840 predicted gene, 23840